rnacentral:rRNA from 1 species
AUUGAACGCUGGCGGCAGGCCUAACACAUGCAAGUCGAGCGGAGCGGCGGACGGGUGAGUAAUGCCUAGGAAUCUGCCUGGUAGUGGGGGAUAACGUCCGGCAACGGGCGCUAAUUACGCAUACUAACAGAUGAGCCUAGGUGGGAUUAGCUAGUAGGUGGGGUAACGGCUCACCUAGGCGACGAUCCCUAGCUGGUCUGAGUGGAUGACCAGCCACACUGGAACUGAGACACGGUCCAGACUCCUACGGGAGGCAGCAGUGGGGAAUAUUGCAAAAUGGGCGCAAGCCUAAUGCAGCCAUGCCGCGUGUGUGAAGAAGGCCUUCGGGUUGUAAAGCACUGUCAGCGGGGAGGCGUUACCCGCAGAAGAAGCACCGGCUAACUCCGUGCCAGCAGCCGCGGUAAUUC